rnacentral:rRNA from 1 species
CCUACGGGAGGCAGCAGUGGGGAAUCUUGCACAAUGGAGGAAACUCUGAUGCAGCGAUGCCGCGUGAGUGAAGAAGGCCUUUGGGUUGUAAAGCUCUUUUGUAGGGGAAGAUAAUGACUGUACCCUAAGAAUAAGGUCCGGCUAACUUCGUGCCAGCAGCCGCGGUAAUACGAAGGGACCUAGCGUAGUUCGGAAUUACUGGGCGUAAAGCGCGCGUAGGCCGUUGAGUUAGUUAAUUGUGAAAUCCCAAAGCUUAACUUUGGAACUGCAAUUAAAACUGCUCGACUAGAGUUUGAUAGAGGAAAGCGGAAUACAUAGUGUAGAGGUGAAAUUCGUAGAUAUUAUGUAGAACACCAGUUGCGAAGGCGGCUUUCUGGAUCAACACUGACGCUGAGGCGCGAAAGUAUGGGUAGCAAAGAGGAUUAGAUACCCUCGUAGUCCAUACCAUAAACGAUGAUUGCUAGAUGUUGGAAAUUUAUUUUCAGUAUCGCAGCUACGCAUAANACAUACCGCCGUCGGGUAGGUACGACCGACCGAACGGUUAAAACGUAACAAAUAGUAAGUUAAGUACGGUCGUUGAGUACGUUGCCGAACGGCGACGACGAGGGGAGGAGG